AGCAUUCUGAGAAGGAUCUAGAGGUGCCACCACGAACAUUCUGAAGGAGGCUGAUAGAGCGGACAACCCACCAAGUCUGGGAGUUGACUUGACAGCCCUGCCCACGAGAAGCUGGCUAAGACAGCACAGUAGAAAUGUGGCCUGAAGAUUGGGGCACAAACACAGCACAAAUCUAUCAUAACCGAGUCUUAAAUUUGCUUUACAUGUGAAAACCAUAUACUCACACACCAACAAGAACUCACCCCAGCUGGCCUAAGCUAAGGAAUCUACAGUCCUUGGAA
rnacentral:lncRNA from 1 species